CUACGGGGCGCUCCAGUGGGGAAUAUUGCACAAUGGGGGAAACUCUGAUGCAGCAACGCCGCGUGGAGGAUGACACUUUUCGGAGCGUAAACUCCUUUUAUAUAGGAAGAAGAUGACGGUACUAUAUGAAUAAGCGCCGGUUAACUCCGUGCCAGCAGCCGCGGUAAUACGGAGGGCGCAAGCGUUACUCGGAAUCACUGGGCGUAAAGAGCGUGUAGGCGGAUUAAAAAGUCAGAAGUGAAAUCCUAUAGCUUAACUAUAGAACUGCUUUUGAAACUCUUAAUCUAGAAUAUGGGAGAGGUAGAUGGAAUUUCUGGUGUAGGGGUAAAAUCCGUAGAGAUCAGAAGGAAUACCGAUUGCGAAGGCGAUCUACUAGAACAUUAUUGACGCUGAGACGCGAAAGCGUGGGGAGCAAACAGGAUUAGAUACCCGCGUAGUC
rnacentral:rRNA from 1 species